GCGGCCGAUUAGCUAGUUGGUGGGGUAAAGGCUCACCAAGGCAAAGAUCGGUAGCCGGCCUGAGAGGGCACACGGCCACACUGGCACUGAAACACGGGCCAGACUCCUACGGGAGGCAGCAGUGGGGAAUCUUGCACAAUGGGGGAAACCCUGAUGCAGCGACGCCGCGUGAACGAUGAAGCCCUUCGGGGUGUAAAGUUCUUUCGACAGGAACGAUAAUGACGGUACCUGGAGAAGAAGCUGCGGCUAACUACGUGCCAGCAGCCGCGGUAAUACGUAGGCAGCGAGCGUUGUUCGGAGUUACUGGGCGUAAAGAGUGCGUAGGCGGUCAGCCAAGUUUGGUGUGAAAUCUCCCGGCUCAACUGGGAGGGUGCGCCGAAAACUGGUUGGCUAGAGUAUGGGAGAGGAAAGCGGAAUUCCUGGUGUAGCGGUGAAAUGCGUAGAUAUCAGGAGGAACACCUGUGGUGUAGACAGCUUUCUGGACCAUAACUGACGCUGAGGCACGAAAGCGUGGGUAGCAAACAGGAUUAGAUACCCUGGUAGUCCACGCCCUAAACGAUGCAUGCUUGGUGUGGGCCGUUCAGUCGGUCUGUGCCGGAGCUAACGCGUUAA
rnacentral:rRNA from 1 species